rnacentral:lncRNA from 10 species
GCGCAAGGCUUGAAUGGCGUCGGGGUUGGAGGGUUGGAAGGUCGGGAAGUGAAGGACUCGCAGGCAUAUUUAACAACGCAAAGUUGCUAGGAGUUGGUACCAGCGUUUGGGAGGUAGAGGUGGCGCUCAUGCAUAUUUGAGACAACAUCUGGAUGGUUGGGGAGAACGCAUGAAUACCAGCACAGCCCAACUAUGUGUAAGCAGAUCUGUGCAGGAAUGAGAGUCCCAGGGAGAGAAUCCACGUUGUUUCUGAAAGAAAAUGGCUAUAGCUCACUGUUGUUUACUGGAAAUAGUAGGGGGAAGGAAAGAUGGAAGUCCAGGUCCAGUGUCAUAUACUGCCCUGCACCUUACUCACUUCUCUGCCUUUAGGGUGAUGCCACACUCAAUCAGAAACUAUGCUACUGCUGAAGAGGUAUAUUGAGCCCUGCCUGGUUAACCUCCAGUGAGGUUAUUAGAGAAUUGGGAGAGGCUCAAAUCAGCAUCCUGCACCUAGUUAUCAAACCAUUGUGAAGUCUUGAUUCCUGGAUGGCCAGAAAACUUGUCAUUGGUCAAGAGCAACAUUAAGAUCUGCCUGUUACUCAUACUGAUGCUUCCUGCCCAGCAAGUUCAUCAGAGGGCGAGGAUGAAUUACGGUUGCCAUGAAUGUCCUUGUGAGGCAGUUGGGAAGCCUUGGCUGGAUUGUGAAGGAUAUUUGAAAAGUAUUUUAGAGUCCACCAGAUCAUCCAUGUGAGUGACCAUGCAGCAAAAGAAGGAGGGUCCUCUCAGUGAUUAAGGAUUAUGAAGUAUUAAUUCUUCCACUGAUAUCUCAAAAGGUGAUCUGGACAAAGGAACAGGUAUCUCAGACCUCCUGGCGUGGCUACUAACAAGUGGCAUCCAUGUUCUAAGACCUGAAUUUGCUGACCAAUAUCAGCAUCACCAUAAACUACACAAGGAUGAACUCUAGGCUGCCUUCAAAGCUUUUCCUGGACCAUCUAUAUAUAUCUGACUCAGUACGGGUAAAAGAAAUGCUGCAGUUUUCCCAGACCCUGCUUGGGCACAAGACAUUAAGUCUCUUUUUUUCCCCUAAUAAUAGGAAUGGCAUGUUUUGCAGUGGAGUAGGAUGAGUAUAGUAAGUAAGCUCUGUAAGGUCCUCUGAGCUGGCCGCACCAUGGUCAAGCCAUCGUGACAUUCCCCCGCCCUUGUGAUAAUGUACUUUGUGAUAUUCCCCAUCCUUGUGAAGGUAGUUUGUAACAUUCCCCGCCCUUGUGACAAUACACCCUCCCCGCCCUUGUUAAUGUAUUUGUAACAUCCAUCCCCUGCCUGCAAAAAAUUGCUUCUGACUCCACUGCCUAUCCCAAACCUAUAAGAAUAAAUGAUAAUCCCACCAC